UACGUAGGGGGCGAGCGUUGUCCGGAUUUAUUGGGCGUAAAGGGCUCGUAGGCGGUCUGUUGCGUCAGGAGUGAAAACUCGGGGCUUAACCCCGAGCCUGCUUCUGAUACGGGCAGACUAGAGGUAUGCAGGGGGAGAACGGAAUUCCUGGUGUAGCGGUGAAAUGCGCAGAUAUCAGGAGGAACACCGGUGGCGAAGGCGGUUCUCUGGGCAUUACCUGACGCUGAGGAGCGAAAGUGUGGGGGAGCGAACAGG
rnacentral:rRNA from 1 species